AUGAUGAAUCCACCCGGCAGCCACGCCCAGUACGCGCCCUGGGGCCAGAAAGGUGUCGGCUCUCCGUCGCCGCAGCCAUGGGGAUGCACGCCCUCGCCGGGCUACGCCAAUGGGGACGCGCACGGUGGGUUCAACCCCAACGUCACCUUCCCCCAUGGACACCCGGCCCAGUGCACGCCCUCGCCCGCCUUCGCCGGCGUGCAGUACCCUCCAUACAACUACUCGCCGCCCCCCUACGGGUCCUCCCCGAUGCCCCCUCUCCGUCAUGGUGCGCUGCCCUUCUCGCACCUCCGCGACACCGACGAGACCGAGGCCGACAUGGACGACAUCAUCGCGACAGGCUCGACCGCGGCCGCCGCGUCUCCCAGGUUCGUCACCCCGGACGACACGGUGGAUCUCAGCGGCGGCAUGGACGGCGAGCUCGGCUACGUCUACGGCGAGGAGGAGCAGGAGGAGGAGGACGAAGAGGAGGAGGAGGAGGAGGAGGAGCCGGCGACUGCUCCGGCGAGGCGGCGCAAGAAGAACAAGCUGGCGGCCAGGUCCGGCGAGCCGGGCAUCAAGUGGGCGUCCAAGGAGGAGGAAUGCCUCGCCGAAGCAUGGAAAGUCGUCUGCCUCGACCCGACCACCGGCAUGAACCAGAGCAUCGCGGCGUACUGGGAGCGCAUCAAGGCCGAGUUCGACGAGCGCAAGCUCGUCGACCCCUACUUUAAAGGCAUCUACAUGCAGCGCGGGGCGAAGGCGACGGCGAACCAUCUGGGGCGUAUCCAGGGGGCAUGCAACAAAUGGCAUGGGAUCGUCGAGGAGGUCGCGGCUCGCCCGGAGAGCGGCGCCAGCGUUGAGGAUCAGUUGCUGCGCAUGUUCGCCUUGUAUCGGCAGGGCAACAACGACGCCAAAUUCAUGUACCUCCACGUUUACAAGCGCAUUGACAUGUGCGAGAAGUGGGCGGAAGUCCGGCGCACCCCCGACAAGGCCAAGGAGACCUACAAGCCAGACGCGCCGAAUCCGGGCGCGUCAGAAGGGCAGCCGGACAGCAACAAAGGUGCGAAGAAGGGGAAACAGGCCGACGCGGCCACCGCUCGAGCGCAGGAGUCCAUCGAGCACUGCCUCGCCGACGCGCAAGCCCGGGCCGUCCUUCGUGAAGAGAAGACCGAGGCGCGGUGGUCGGCGUUGGUGUCGAGCAGCGCCAUCAAGCUCGACCUAUUCCGGGCCAACGUCGCUGCGAAGAAGAGAAACACCGUCCUGGCUUUCCUGCUGGGUGGGGCGGACAUGCUCCAGAGCAACGACGAGGCGGUCAAGGCGUGGUACUUGGUGGAGCGUGGCCUCAUCCUGAACCAGCCGGCACCGAGUACGAUCCGUGCUCAGGACGGGCCACGUUCACCUAAGGAUAUCUCGAGGAGGGUGCAUGUGGCGGGUCCGCCGAUGCUACCGACUAAUCUGCUCAAUGCUGCAACCGGUGCUAUGCGGAGUCUGCAUGACAGUGUUCUUUCUUUGGAAAGGCGGCGUCUCUCCGAGAAUGAUGUGGUAUACUCGGUUUUCGUGGCCAAGGUGCCAGAGGGCAAGGGCUUUGUCGAUAGCACCAUCGGGGGUAUGAUCGUCCUGCGGUUUGAUGACAUCUUCGCUAUUUUUAACCUUUAUCCACUGCACUACACCUUCAUUCCGCUAUUUUCUCUCAGUAUGGAGAUGCGGAUCAUUAGAGACAAGACCCCGGACAUUGUGAUAGUCGACCCCUUCUACAUGCGUGCCAAGAUCUUGGGCAGCGCUCGGGAUAACUUCCUCGUGCCUUACUUUCCCGAUGACACACAUUGCAAACUCAUCCUCUUAAGCCCGAAAUAUUCCAUGGCCACGUAUUUUGACUCGGACCGUCAGUCGAAGAAAGACUACACAAAUAUCAGGAAAGUUCUUGAUGAUGCUCUCCCCGGCUACGCCAAAUCUGGAGGCACCUUGAGGAGGCCAAUUUGUAGGUACGGCAAGCACGUGUUCACCCACGUAACGACGUUCCGCUGCGUCAAGCAGCCGCCUGGCGGUCAGAAGGAUGCCUACUACGCCCUCCAUCACAUGCGGGCGAUCGUACGGGACCAUAAUCACCUUCUGCUACCAACUAAUCUCAAAGAUUGGGCCGCACGCUUGUCGGCAAUCCAGGACGCGGACAUCAGACAAGAAUUCUUUCGCAUCCAGUCGGAAUUUGUGGAAAUCAUCCAUCAGGAUGUCCUUCGUACCUCGGGGCAGUUCUACCUCAAAUAUCAACCGUCCAACAAUGAAAUAGAAACAACGCUACAAAUGCAGGCUGACAACGAUCGCGAUUUCAUGACCAUCACGAAAGACGGCGGCUUCAUCCAUGCUCCGGUCCCUGAGUCGAGUCGAAAGUAA
rnacentral:rRNA from 1 species